rnacentral:rRNA from 1 species
UACAGAGGGGGCAAGCGGUUGUUCGGAAUUACUGGGCGUAAAAGGGCGCGUAGGAGCGGCCUGUUAAGUCGAACGUGAAAUCCCCGGGCUCAACCCGGGAACUGCGUCCGAUACUGGCAGGCUUGAAUCCGGGAGAGGGAUGCGGAAUUCCAGGUGUAGCGGUGAAAUGGCGUAGAUAUCUGGAGGAACACCGGGUGGCGAAGGCGGCAUCCUGGACCGGCAUUG